UGGGGAAUAUUGGACAAUGGGCGAAAGCCUGAUCCAGCCAUGCCGCGUGUGUGAAGAAGGUCUUCGGAUUGUAAAGCUCUUUUACCAGGGAUGAUAAUGACAGUACCUGGAGAAUAAGCUCCGGCUAACUCCGUGCCAGCAGCCGCGGUAAUACGGAGGGAGCUAGCGUUGUUCGGAAUUACUGGGCGUAAAGCGUACGUAGGCGGUGACUCAAGUCAGAGGUGAAAGCCUGGAGCUCAACUCCAGAACUGCCUUUGAAACUAGGUCGCUAGAAUCACGGAGAGGUGAGUGGAAUUCCGAGUGUAGAGGUGAAAUUCGUAGAUAUUCGGAAGAACACCAGUGGCGAAGGCGGCUCACUGGACGUGUAUUGACGCUGAGGUACGAAAGCGUGGGGAGCAAACAGGAUUAGAUACCCCCGUAGUCCCUGAGCGGGCUGGCAAGGCGCAU
rnacentral:rRNA from 1 species